CAAUAGCGUAUAUUUAAGUUGUUGCAGUUAAAAAGCUCGUAGUCGGAUUUUGGCUGAGAACGAUCGGUCCGCCGUUAGGUGUGCACUGAUUGGUCUCAGCUUCCUGGUGAGGAGGUGUGCUUCACGGCCACUUAGUCACCGUAGUUACUUUGAAAAAAUUAGAGUGUUCAAAGCGGGCUUACGCUUGAAUAUAUUAGCAUGGAAUAACACCAUAGGACUCCUGUCCUAUUUCGUUGGUCUCGGGACGGGAGUAAUGAUUAAGAGGAACAGUUGGGGGCAUUCGUAUUUCAUUGUCAGAGGUGAAAUUCUUGGAUUUAUGAAAGACGAACUUCUGCGAAAGCAUUUGCCAAGGAUGUUUUCAUUAA
rnacentral:rRNA from 1 species